ACCGAAUCAUCCCUGUCAAUAAAUGUUGCAACUCAACCAUCACCAGUAGCUAUACAGUACAAAUUUUCAAACUUCAUCAUCACCAUCUUUGCGCUGAGUUCCGUGGCCGACGAUGCAUCAUCAUGAAGGUGGAGACGAUCAUGACAUGGACGAUGCAGGGGAAGUUAACAUAAGUGUGAAAGUUGCGAACAACGUGAUUUAGAAGUGGGUUUUGAAGCGAUCCAUUGAGUGAUUUGUUCUGCUGGGGAUGUGUAU
rnacentral:lncRNA from 1 species